GAUUCUCACAGCCUGUCAUACAACCUGUGCCUGUGUCACAGUUUGCAGUCUCUGUGCUUUGUUCCGGGUUGGAUGGGUUAUAUACACCUCUCGAGUUUGUGUCCGUGGAUGUGUUUGAUGCAUGUGUGUACACACAGACCUCUUUACCAACACGGCAAAUAAUACACAGAUAAAUACACAAGCGGGGAUCAAUCACGCAUUUUCAGUUUAUUGUACCAUACAGUGUGUAUGCAGUGCCAUUGUUCUCUCACCGUGCUUGCUCAGAAACAUGCAGCUUGUAUUUCUUUAUUAUUAUUAUUAUGAUUAACUAAAAAGUCCAAAAAAAAAAAAAAAUUUUUUUUUUUUUUUAGUCCAGUUAAAUACCAACUGGUGUCUGGGAACGCACAAUUUCAGCACAGUGAGCAGUGAUUCAGACCCUGGCAGUGUUUUGGCUAUGAGACAAUUCCUACUUAUAAAGAGCACAAUGAGGAGGGGAGAUAUAGCAUUAAUUUUAAGGAAGAUUAAUAUUAGUCUUUUUAAUGAUCAUGGCUCUCUGAAGAAUCCUUAUAGCUGCCGAGAGCUGUUGUGCCCUUCCCACUAGUAUUUAUUCAAGCAAAGGAAAAAAUGAAGAAGGCGUAGAAUAAACUAAGUCUGUUCAAGAAUUACUGGCAUUAUUUCUCCCUGCAUCACGUGUGAGCCGGGUUGCCUGCUAUUCCUGAGGCAGAGGAUCGAGGAUGAAAGUCUGUGUGUCAGAGCCUGUUUUCACAACUGCAUUUGGAGAUCCGUCUUAUUGAUUAGGAAAAAAAGGGGGUGGGAAUAGGAGUGUGAGGUGAGGGGAGGACCGACCGACUACUGGCUUAUUGCAGCUCAAGACAUUUUCUUCCGGAAAGAUGUCAAACAACUGAGACACAGCAACAGAGGAAGUAGAAAGGUGGAAAAAUAAGAAGAGGGACCCUUUGGAAGAAAUGAAGGCAUUCCUUAUGAGAGCCUUGAGGCUUUUUUUUCUUCUAACAUCUGACCCACAAGGGCUAGAGUGACAGCGUCAUGCAAAUGCUGCAGUCCAGCAGGUCUGAGAGAGGGUGGAUGCUAGAGACUGAACGGCUUCCCGAAGAGCACUGAGUUUUCUAUACCAGAUUCUGCUCCAGUGGCUAGGACCUUUAUGGCUGCUGUUUCUUUUGCUCUGGGCUCUGAUGGAAGAGGAAAAAAAAAAAAAAAAAAAAAAAAAAAGCCACUGUGGAUCCCGUCCCUAAAGUAGAAAUUUUCUUUUUCCUUCUGCAAACAAGGCUAAAGAUCGGAGGAGAAUGAAUACGAAAGUAAUUUGGGAUCGUGGUCGUGCCAUUAAAAGUGUUCGGCUUCAGAAAGAAAUUGUUUGGGAAAUCCGAUUAUUUCUUCUCACUGUAUCAACAGUAUUUGAAAGUUUGUGUUCUUUGAGUAAUCUGGUGCAAGAGACAACAAUCUCCGCAUGUCAGUGUUUUCUACAGUUUAUGGUGCGAAAGCUCGCUUUGACAUUGAAACGAAGAAGCUUUUGCUAGCAGUCUGUAAAAGGAUUAAAUGUUGAACGUGGGGAAGAGGCAAAAAGUGAAUACAUGCCCAGAGGUUAUCCUUGCAUCGAGGAGGUCUCUAAAGUACUCUGUAACCUAGGGCCCAACCGAACAGGAGGACUGAAAGUAUAAAGGGGAAAUAUUGCGAUUAGAAACCCCUUCAUAUGCAUUUAAUCCUUCUUUAAGGCAUUAAAGGAAAUAGAAUCAAAUGGUUACUGUAUGAAUCUGCUGGAAGAAGCAGGUUUUAACCCAUUUUUAGACGCCUCCUUCCGAUGCAUUUUAAUAUGGCUACUUGUGUGUCAAGGCAGUGAAGAUUUUUGCUGUGCUCUUUUCUUUUUGCUUUCAAAAGUUAAGGACUGUAAGAAAAGUCUGUUCAGUCAGCUGAUACAUUGUCUUGAAUGUAUGUAUGUGUCUUGCCUGCUUAUUUGAUCUUUUCUGCCCCCUACGUGAAAGUGCCUUGUGUUUAUUUGGGUGGGAGGAGGGGUUGCUGAUUGGGGUGUGGGGGCGGGCAGGUGGUUGCUUUUUGUUUUGGUUUUGGUUUGGUGUAGUUGUGUGUUGUUUUUGUUUGCUGUUUUUUGUUUGGUUGUUUUGUUUUGUUUUGUUUUUUUUACAAUAGCAGUGAAAGUUUUGCUGACAGCAAUUAUGACUACUAAGCAAUUCAGAUUAUUGGAAGACGAAUUCUACUGGAUCAUAUCAGACUUUUCCUAGUCCCUGAGACCCUAACUUGUGAGGUUUUGUAGCAACAAUCACAAGUCAGGCUCUUGGGACCUAGGCGGAGGGGAACCAGCAGCUUUGGACUAUGAUUGUUUCUCUGCAGAAUUUAGAGAGCCAAAGGAGCUUUCCCUGUCUGGAAGGGAAAAAGGAAAAUACACCUUUGUUAAUAUAUUGGAAAAUAUACUAGAUGUUAAACACCAGACCUGUUCCUAAAAGAAAAAAAAGCUGUUAUCCUUUGUGCAGCUUUAGCAUGCUACCUGUUUGUGUUUAGAAAACUGGACUAGAUGCCAUGUAACUAACAUUUACUAUUAAAAUUUAAACUGAAUGCCAGUUCAUACCACCUCAAAAUAGAACCAAAAGAACAACACCAAAAAAAUAAAAACAAAACACAAAAGCAAGCAAACAAACAAACAAAGAAAAAAACCCACCCGCCCACCAGGUACUAAAAUAUACUAAAGGUUUUCAACCAUAACAUAUCAUUACAGACAUUUCUGGUAGAUAAUUAUCACAAAGUGUAUUUUCAGCUGGAUUGCUACAGUGUUUAAUUAACUUUUAAAACAUGAAGCGCAAAAGCUGAUGUUUGAGGCCUAGAAAGCAUUCAUUCUUUUGAUGUUUGAGUAAUGAUUUCAGUCUACAGGAAAACUGUUGCUUAGCUUUUCCUGUAACAGGGGACAAAGACUGUUUUACAGUAGUUGCCAUUAUUUUUCUUUGUCUAAGUGAGGAUAUAAUAUCACAUUUUAAAUUAUUGUCUCCAUUUAAAUAUUAAUCUGGUAGAGAACAUUGGUGUAAAAAUCGUACUAGAGCAUUAAUAUCACUUCACUCACAGAAGCACAUUCUGUGUACCUGUUAAAUUUAAAUGGAGCUGGCAGCAGUCUGAGAAUCAGAUUCAGCCUCAAUCCUCUUUGUCACUUUUUGCAUUUUUCCUCCCACUGGCAAUAGCAUACUGCAUUUUAGGUUGUCCCCAGUAUGCUAAGUACUUCACUGAUUUUGCAUAGGAAGAUUUAUAGGGGCGUGAGUUGUUCUGCACCAUUCAUUGCUUUUAAACUUCUGAUCUGUUGUGCAUAGUUUGAUCUGUAUUUCUUAACAUUUUAUAGGUGGGUUACUUCUAAUUCAUUUUUCUCUGUUUCCUGUGUCUAAAACAAGAUGCUGCAGGACCUUGUUGAUACAUCAGAUUUCACUGAGACAAAGGCUUCAUACAGAUCAGGCAUCCAAACUAUUUGUUCAUUUCAGAAAUGGUAUUUUGGCUGCAGUGUUUUUUUUCCCCUUGUGUGGGAGGAAUUGUGUUUUACUGUAAGCGUCAAUACUUUUGUUAAAAUAAAUUGUUCUUAUCUGUUAGCGUAA